AUCUAUUAUGCCUUGAUAUGGGACUUGUCAGUAACUCCAUGCUAACGGAGAAUAGUUAGCCUGUGUGCACAUAGUAUUCUGUAUACCUAGCUGGUGAGAGAGGCAUCAGCCUGUGGUGAUUGAUCAUCCCACAGUGGUCACCGACGGGUGUCAUCUGGUCACCUUCGGGUGUCAUCUGAUCUCUGACAUGUAAUCCACUACGUUAUGAUAAUAUGUUACGUUAUGAUAA
rnacentral:lncRNA from 1 species